rnacentral:snRNA from 1 species
AUUAUUCCUAAUCCUUUUGGCUAAGAUCAAGUGUAGUAUCUGUUCUUAUCAGUUUAAUAUUAUUCCUAAUUAAAGCAACAGAGCUUGUUUUUCUGUAUGUUUGUUUUAUGGUGCAAUAGUUUCCUUUUUCAGUUACAGUUGCUUUUCCCCUCAGGGCAAACUUGCAGUGCCUACCAGCA